GGCAGAGGCGCCAUGGCGCACACACGCCGUCCACGCCCGGAUUGCCUCGUGUCGUUCAUCUGAGCGCUCCUAGAGCUGUAUAAAUGUUCCCCUUAUUUCGUUGACGAACCCUAGCCCCCGAAAUUCCCCUAUCCCACUCGUGUUUCUCCACUGAACCUCAUGCCGGAGAUGUUGUCACUGCGCCUUCGUCGAUCCUGCGGCCACUGACUCCCCAUCGCUGCAUCGCCAUGUCCAUGAGGUUCUCCGUCGUCUGCUUCAUCGUCUCCAACACCGGAUCGAGCCCGGGGAACCACACGGACAACGCCCAUGUCUUCUUCUUCACCAAAGACCGUCCCGGCCAUCGCCGUCGAUCUCCACCACUGGUGCCUCCCGGCCUCGCCGAGCUCGUCCACAGCCUCCCCAGGAUGACGGAGCCCCUGAGAGCGCUGCCAUCGCCGACGACUACUACUACUAGCCCGAGGGUGCCUUCUACCACGUGGCGGACACCGACGACCAGGAGUAGUUAGGAGGCUCCCAGACAGGUGGCCUUGCCUUUUCGAUCGUUGUUAAUUUUGUGCUAGCCUUCUUAAGACAGACUUGUUUAACUCAUGUCUGUACUUAGAUAUUGUUGCUUCCGCUAACUCAUUUGUAUUCGAGCUUAUGUAUUUGAGCUCUCGAGACCCUGGCUUGUAAUAUAAAGCUUGUAUUAUUAUUUUAA